CUACGUAGGGUGCGAGCGUUGUCCGGAAUUAUUGGGCGUAAAGAGCUUGUAGGCGGUCUGUCGCGUCUGCUGUGAAAAUCCGGGGCUCAACCCCGGACUUGCAGUGGGUACGGGCAGACUAGAGUGUGGUAGGGGAGACUGGAAUUCCUGGUGUAGCGGUGAAAUGCGCAGAUAUCGGGAGGAACACCGGUGGCGAAGGCGGUUCUCUGGGCCUUACCUGACGCUGAGGAGCGAAAGCGUGGGGAGCGAACAGG
rnacentral:rRNA from 1 species